UACGUAGGGGCAGCAGUGUUCGGUUCGAUUGAUGGCGAAAGAGCGUGUAGGCGGCCAUGUAGGUCCGUUGUGAAACUCGAGGCUCAACCUCGAGACGCCGAUGGAAACCAUGUGGCUAGAGUCCGGAAGAGGAGAGUGGAAUUCCUGGUGUAGCGGUGAAAUGCGCAGAUAUCAGGAAGAACACCCGUGGCUAAGGCGGCUCUCUAGUACGGUACUGACGCUGAGACUCGAAAGCGUGGGGAGCGAACGGG
rnacentral:rRNA from 1 species